AUGCCCAGUGAUGAGGACUUCUCCUACUUGUCUUUGAGUUCCUCAAACAUGAGAUGACCCUACAUGCACUAUGGGAGGGAUAC